rnacentral:rRNA from 1 species
CACGUAGGGGGCGAGCGUUGUCCGGAUUUAUUGGGCGUAAAGAGCUCGUAGGCGGCUCGGUAAGUCGGGUGUGAAACCUCCAGGCUCAACCUGGAGACGCCACCUGAUACUGCUGUGGCUAGAGUCCGGUAGGGGAGCGUGGAAUUCCUGGUGUAGCGGUGAAAUGCGCAGAUAUCAGGAGGAACACCAGUGGCGAAGGCGGCGCUCUGGGCCGGAACUGACGCUGAGGAGCGAAAGCGUGGGUAGCAAACAGG